ensembl:lncRNA
GGAAAACAGAAAGGAAAACAAGGACAUUCAACAGUCUUUACAUCGGCUGGAAGACACAAUGGAAGAAUCUUUAUUUGGAGACUGCUUCCUUUGGAGUGUUUGGUCUGCUCUGAUGCUCAGAAAGAGGAAAUGGAACAAUGAAGUCGUCUAGGAGCUGUAGACCAUUCUUCUCUUCUGAGACCAGGUAACAAGAACUAUCAACAAUCUGUGGAACUGUAACAUUAACUCUUCAAUUUCUAGUGCGCUACAUGAUGUUAUGAUGUGGAAUACUAAUCACCGAUCAUAAAACCAUAAGAGCAUCAUACUAGACCAGAAGCUAGACUGGUAGUGUAUUUAUCUUCAUAAAUAUUAAAGAAAGAGUACAUCAUGUAUUAGAACAAUGGCAUAAGCACACA